rnacentral:rRNA from 1 species
GAUGAACGCUGGCGGCGUGCCUAAUACAUGCAAGUCGAGCGAACGGAUAAGGAGCUUGCUCCUUUGACGUUAGCGGCGGACGGGUGAGUAACACGUGGGUAACCUACCUAUAAGGCUGGGAUAACUUCGGGAAACCGGAGCUAAUACCGGAUAAUAUUUUGAACCGCAUGGUUCAAUAGUGAAAGAUGGUUUUGCUAUCACUUAUAGAUGGAUCCGCGCCGGAUUAGCUAGUUGGUAAGGUAACGGCUUACCAAGGCGACGAUACGUAGCCGACCUGAGAGGGGGGACCGGCACAAUGGAACUGAGGAACCGGUCAAGCUCCUACGGGAGGGAACAGUAAGGAAUCUUUCGGAAUGGGGGGAAGGCCUGCGGGACAACCGCGGGGGGAGGGAUGAAGGCUUCCGGACCGAAAACCCUUGUAAUAGGGAAAAAAAAAAGGGGUAAGAACUGGUGACAGUUUGGAGGGAACCAAACAAGAAAACACCGGUAACUUCCGU